rnacentral:rRNA from 1 species
AGUGAACGCUGGCGGUAGGCCUAACACAUGCAAGUCGAACGGCAGCACAGUAAGGGCUUGCUCUUACGGGUGGCGAGUGGCGGACGGGUGGGGAAUACAUCGGAAUCUACUUUUUCGUGGGGGAUAACGUAGGGAAACUUACGCUAAUACCGCAUACGACCUACGGGUGAAAGCAGGGGAUCUUCGGACCUUGCGCGAUUGAAUGAGCCGAUGUCGGAUUAGCUAGUUGGCGGGGUAAAGGCCCACCAAGGCGACGAUCCGUAGCUGGUCUGAGAGGAUGAUCAGCCACACUGGAACUGAGACACGGUCCAGACUCCUACGGGAGGCAGCAGUGGGGAAUAUUGGACAAUGGGCGCAAGCCUGAUCCAGCCAUACUGCGUGGGUGAAGAAGGCCUUCGGGUUGUAAAGCCCUUUUGUUGGGAAAGAAAAGCAGCAGGUUAAUACCCCGCUGUUCUGACGGUACCCAAAGAAUAAGCACCGGCUAACUUCGUG